CUGUGAGCCUGGCCUGUACUCUGUAACCAACCAAUUACCAUGCCUGCCUUGUCCACUGGGAACUUACAAGAAUGAGACAGGAAACCAGAACUGCAGCCUGUGUCCUGCAGAUCGAACAACACCUCAUACAGGCAGUGUCACAGAAAACAGCUGUUCUCUUGUUGUGUGUCCUGCUGGCCAGUUCCGUAACACCAAUAAUAUGUGUCAAGACUGUGACACUGGCUACUAUCAGUCACAGCCUGGUCAGACUUCCUGUCAGUCAUGUGUUGCUAACUAUACAACAUACACCAAGGCAUCAACCUCACAUGAAAACUGCACAAUUAACUGCCCACCUGGACAAUUUCGGGAUACCAGGACUUCAUGUCAGAAAUGUGUGGUGGGCUCUUAUCAGCCAAACUAUGGAGCAACAUCAUGCAUUAACUGCACUACAAACUUCAUUACAGCAGGCAGUGGUUCAACAAACUCGUCGGACUGUUUCAGUAUGUUUGGUUCCUUGGUGCUUUAC